rnacentral:lncRNA from 1 species
GUAAAGUUUUCCUGUUCUGUUGGCAGAUAAUUUUGCUUAUUUUAAGUAAUAUUUCCCUAAUUGUAUUGCUUUUUUCCCUUGUUUUUGAGAGCUGACUUUUUGCAGUGUAUUAUUUGACCCUGCUGGUCAUCUAUGAACAUUUGAACAUCUUGGCCAUGUUCUGUUAUAGUCUCCACCCGGCACAGCCAGAAGAGGACUGGCCUCCCCUCAUAGCCUGGUUCCUCUCUAGGUUUCUUCCUAGGUUCUGGCCUUUCUAGGGAGUUUUUCCUAGCCACCGGGCUUCUGCAUUGCUUGCUGUUUGGGGUUUUAGGCUGGGUUUCAGUACAGCACUUUGUGACAUCAGCUGAUGUAAGAAGGGCUUUAUAAAUACAUUUGAUUGAUGUCUACUUCUGAUAAACUGCUUAGUAAAACAAUCAAGCAUCCCAGAAAAGUGCCAAAAAAUUGCCCACAUUAACAUGUUGCCUAAGAAUCAAGGUUCAUGAAAUCGUUAAUAACCGAUGACAUUCAUAUACUGACUAUCUCUGAAACUGACUUAGAUAAUACCUUUGAUAUAGCGGUAGCAAUACAUGGUUAUAACAUCUACAGCAAUGCUAACGGGAUUGGUGUUGCAGUCUGUAUUCAGAACAACAUUCCAGUAAAGCUUAGAGAGGAUCUCAUGCCAAAUACUGUUGAAGUAUUUGUAUCUGUUAAAUCCCUGUGGAUUGAUGAGGAAUUUAACAUUUUUAUGGUUGAGAGGGAUGGGGCAAAAGGAAUGGAAAAUAAGUCUGGCUGCAUAACCAAUUGGAAAACCUACUGCAAAUUGAGAAAUAAUGUGGCUAAACAGAACAAAAAGAAGAAGAAACUAUACUAUGAAACAAGAAUAAAUUAUAUCCAGAAUUAUAGUAAAAAGCUUUGGAGCACCUUAAAUUAAAUUUUAGGCAAAAAAGCAAACUCCGCUCCUAUCAGGUGUCAAGGUAAGACGCAAGUGCAGACUGUGUGAAGUAACAAUGUUAAUUGUAACAGGGGCAGGCAAACGACAGGUCAAGGCAGGCAGGGGUCGAUAAUCCAGAGUAGGAGCAAAUGUACAGGACGGCAGGCAGGCUCAGGGACAGGCAGAGUGGUCAGGCGGGCAGGUACAGGGGCAGGACAGGCAAGGGUCAAAAACCAGGAGGAUGAGAAAAAGGCUGGGAGAAGACAGGACAAACUGUGGUAAAUUUAACAAACAAGACGAACUGGCACAGACAGAAAACACAGGUAUAAAUACCCAGAGGAUAAGUGGGGAAGAUGGGCAACACCUGGAGGGGGUGGAGACAAGCACAAGGACAGCUGAAACAGAUCAGGGCGUGACAGCUCCAAGCGAACCUCCUCCCAGCUGCCCACUGCACUGAGGCUAGGAAACACUGUCACCACCGAUAAAUCCACUAUAAUUGAGAAUUUCAAUAAGACUUUUUCUACGGCAGGUCAUGCUUUCCACCUGGCUACCCCUACCCCAAUCAACAGCCCUCCACCCCCCCACAGCAACUCGCCCAAGCCUCCCCCAUUUCUCCUUCACCCAAAUCCAGAUAGCUGAUGUUCUGAAAGAGCUGCAAAAUCUGGACCCCUACAAAUCAGCUGGGCUAGACAAUCUGGACCCUCUCUUUCUAAAAUGAUCUGCCGAUAUUGUUGCAACCCCUAUUACUAGCCUGUUCAACCUCUCUUUUGUAUCGUCUGAGAUUCCCAU